rnacentral:rRNA from 3 species
AAACGACUCUCGGCAACGGAUAUCUCGGCUCUCGCAUCGAUGAAGAACGUAGCGAAAUGCGAUACUUGGUGUGAAUUGCAGAAUCCCGCGAACCAUCGAGUCUUUGAACGCAAGUUGCGCCCGAAGCCAUUAGGUUGAGGGCACGUCUGCCUGGGCGUCUCAC